rnacentral:lncRNA from 1 species
UAUGAUUCUGACUAUAUAUUAACCUCUCAUAUCUUCUCAAAAGUUAUCAUUAAUUUUCUUUGCAUUUCUUAGUGUGGUGAAUUAUGUAUAAUAACAAAAAAAUUCCUUUGACACCUACCACUUCAGGCACUUCUAAUGCAGUUCUUCCUACAACAAAUAAUACUGACAAGAAUUUCCUUCCCAAGUGUUGUAGAUGCUUCACUUUGGAUGAUAGAACAAUAGAAGAUACAGCCUUACUAUCCGUCUCAUACUCCUUGUCACUGCC